ACGUGAAACCUUGUGGGAAGCAGGGAGGACCACCUCCCAAGGCUAAAUACUACCUGAUGACCGAUAGUGAAGCAGUACCGUGAGGGAAAGGUGAAAAGAACCCCGGGAGGGGAGUGAAAUAGAACCUGAAACCGUGUGCCUACAACCGCUCAGAGCCCCUUAUGAGGGUGAUGAGGUGCUUUUUGUAGAACGAGCCAACGAGUUACGGUAUGUAGCAAGGUUAAGUACUUAAGGUACGGAGCCGAAGGGAAACCGAGUCUGAAUAGGGCGACUAGUUGCAUGCCGUAGACCCGAAACCGGGUGACCUAUCCAUGGCCAGGUUGAAGCGAGGGUAAAACCUCGUGGAGGACCGAACCACGUUGCUGUUGAAAAAGCAUGGGAUGAGCUGUGGAUAGCGGAGAAAUUCCAAUCGAACCCGGAGAUAGCUGGUUCUCUCCGAAAUAGCUUUAGGGCUAGCGUCGAGUAUGAGUAGUGGAGGUAGAGCACUGAAUGGGCUAGGGGGCAUAGCGCUUACCGAACCUUAUCAAACUCCGAAUGCCACAUACUUUGAGCUCGGCAGUCAGACUACGAAUGAUAAGAUCCGUGGUCAAAAGGGAAACAGCCCAGAUCGUCAGCUAAGGUCCCAAAGUGUAAGUUAAGUGGGAAAGGAUGUGAGAUUUCUAAGACAACUAGGAUGUUGGCUUAGAAGCAGCCAUUCAUUAAAAGAGUGCGUAAUAGCUCACUAGUCGAGAGAUCUUGCGCCGAAAAUGUAACGGGGCUAAACUUACCACCGAAGCUACGGGCUUGAACUUAGUUCAAGCGGUAGGAGAGCGUCGUAACCGGGCUGAAGUCGUACC
rnacentral:rRNA from 1 species